rnacentral:rRNA from 1 species
CGGACGGCGGCCCCCAGUCGUGCGGUUUCGUCACGAGGUACGACGGCGAGGGUCAGUGAGCCUCUCGUGGGGCGCCAGGGAAGUCGGGGUCUCCGAUGCGAGUGGCGAGGGGCAGCGCGUCAUUGCUCCCGAGCCAUGGUAGGGGAAGUCUGGCCUCCAGACCGUGUUGAAGAAGGUCUCUCGAGGGCUUUCCCGGGUUGAGGCAGGAAACCCUGGGUUCCCUCGACUUGUGCAGGUGACCUCAGGGGGCUUCUCAUGGUGGCUCUGAGAAGCCUGGGAAACUGGGUCUAAUACCGGAUAGGAGCCAUUUUUAGUGUGAUGGUUGGAAAGUUUUUUUCGGUGUAGGAUGAGCUCGCGGCCUAUCAGCUUGUUGGUGGGGUAAUGGCCUACCAAGGCGGCGACGGGUAGCCGGCCUGAGAGGGUGGACGGCCACAUUGGGACUGAGAUACGGCCCAGACUCCUACGGGAGGCAGCAGUGGGGAAUAUUGCACAAUGGGCGCAAGCCUGAUGCAGCGACGCCGCGUGGGGGAUGACGGCCUUCGGGUUGUAAACUCCU